rnacentral:rRNA from 1 species
ACGGGUGAGUAACACGUGGGUGAUCUGCCUCGUACUUCGGGAUAAGCCUGGGAAACUGGGUCUAAUACCGGAUAUGACCACGGGAUGCAUGUCUUGUGGUGGAAAGAUUUAUCGGUGCGAGAUGGGCCCGCGGCCUAUCAGCUUGUUGGUGGGGUAAUGGCCUACCAAGGCGACGACGGGUAGCCGACCUGAGAGGGUGACCGGCCACACUGGGACUGAGACACGGCCCAGACUCCUACGGGAGGCAGCAGUGGGGAAUAUUGCACAAUGGGCGGAAGCCUGAUGCAGCGACGCCGCGUGAGGGAUGACGGCCUUCGGGUUGUAAACCUCUUUCGACAGGGACGAAGCGCAAGUGACGGUACCUGUAGAAGAAGCACCGGCCAACUACGUGCCAGCAGCCGCGGUAAUACGUAGGGUGCGAGCGUUGUCCGGAAUUACUGGGCGUAAAGAGAUUGUAGGCGGUUCGUCGCGUCGAUCGUGAAAACCUACCGCUCAACGGUGGGCUUGCGGUCGAUACGGGCGGACUAGAGUACUUCACGGGAGACUGGAAUUCCUGGUGUAGCGGUGAAAUGCGCAGA